ACUCCUACGGGAGGCAGCAGUAGGGAAUCUUCCGCAAUGGACGAAAGUCUGACGGAGCAACGCCGCGUGAACGAUGAAGGUCUUCGGAUCGUAAAGUUCUGUUGUUAGGGAAGAACAAGUGCCGUGCGAAUAGAACGGCACCUUGACGGUACCUAACGAGGAAGCCCCGGCUAACUACGUGCCAGCAGCCGCGGUAAUACGUAGGGGGCAAGCGUUGUCCGGAAUUAUUGGGCGUAAAGCGCGCGCAGGCGGUUCCUUAAGUCUGAUGUGAAAGCCCACGGCUCAACCGUGGAGGGUCAUUGGAAACUGGGGAACUUGAGGACAGAAGAGGAGAGUGGAAUUCCACGUGUAGCGGUGAAAUGCGUAGAUAUGUGGAGGAACACCAGUGGCGAAGGCGACUCUCUGGUCUGUUUCUGACGCUGAGGUGCGAAAGCGUGGGUAGCAAACAGGAUUAGAUACCCUGGUAGUCCACGCCGUAAACGAUGAGUGCUAGGUGUUAGGGGGCUUCCACCCCUUAGUGCUGAAGUUAACGCAUUAAGCACUCCGCCUGGGGAGUACGGCCGCAAGGCUGAAACUCAAAGGAAUUGACGG
rnacentral:rRNA from 1 species